GAGUCAUUGGGACUCAAUUAAACCUAAAGGCGCAAUGAAAGUAAAGGUCCGCCUCGCGCGGACCUAGGGAGGAUGCGCCCGACCGCGGUCGGGCACCGCACUCCCGGGGCGUCUCGUUCUCAUAGCGAGAAGAGGCGCACCCAGAGCGUACACGCUGGGACCCGAAAGAUGGUGAACUAUGCCUGGUCAGGACGAAGUCAGGGGAAACCCUGAUGGAGGUCCGUAGCGAUUCUGACGUGCAAAUCGAUCGUCGGAACUGGGUAUAGGGGCGAAAGACUAAUCGAACCUUCUAGUAGCUGGUUCCCUCCGAAGUUUCCCUCAGGAUAGCUGGCGCUCGCCUUGCGAGUCUCAUUCGGUAAAGCGAAUGAUUAGAGGCAUUGGGGUCGAAACGGCCUCAACCUAUUCUCAAACUUUAAAUGGGUGAGAUCUCCGGCUUGCUUGAACCGUGAAGCCGCGAGAGAUCAUCGGAUCACUGAGUGCCAAGUGGGCCACUUUUGGUAAGCAGAACUGGCGCUGUGGGAUGAACCAAACGCCGAGUUAAAGCGCCUAAAUCGACGCUUAUGGGAUACCAUGAAAGGCG
rnacentral:rRNA from 1 species